rnacentral:lncRNA from 1 species
GUCCAACUAGCGCGAAAUGAAGCAGAACUCUCCUCCAUAGACUAGCCGGAGAGAAUGAGCAGAGAGCCGGGAGGUACUGGGGGCCGAGCGUUCGACUCAGACCAGCUUCAAGACGGAGCGAAAGAGCGGAGGUUCGAGACCUUCCGCCGUACCGAACAGCUUCCCUCGCGAUACCAAGCAAUACCCCCGUUUCCUCUGAUCUACAAACUCCCUGGCCAUCCCUUCUCUUCGCCGGAGCCAGCCCGGAGGGCAUGAAACAAACCCAACGCCGACCGUUCCCCACACUUUCCCUCACCAAAGAAACCCACGCGCGAGUGCUCCACGCAAACGCGACCCAGUCCCUAACAGGCAACCUCAAGAGUUCAUGAACCUUCACAGCAGCGUCGCCGAGGCCGGGGUGCCGCCCCACGGACCUCUGCCGGGUGGCGGCGGGUAGGAAGCUGGUGGCGACGCCUGCGGGGGGCAGAAGGGAGCGAAGGGUGAAACUUCCCGGGGUCACCCGAGCCUGGGCAAGCACGCCGCGUACCUUUCCUUGGCCUCGGCGGCCCGGUCUCUUUGCCUCCGGUUCUUAAACCAGUUGCUGACCUGGGUGGUGGUGAGGCCGGUGGCCUCGGCCAGCUCCCGUUUCUCCCUCGGUGAGGGGUAGGGGUUGUGCGCGUACCACUCCCGCAGCACGCCCCGAGACUUCUCCUUAAAGCAGUAGCUGGUCUCCUCGCCGUCCCAGAUGGUCCGCGGCAACGGGAAUUUUCGGCGCACCCGAUAUUUGCCCACGGCACCCAGGGGUCGGCCGCGAAGUUUCUCGGCCUCCACGUAGUGCGCUUUCAGCCACAGCUGCUGCAGUUUGGGGUGAUUGUGAGGCGAGAACUGGUGGCUCUCCAGUAUCUUGUAGAGCUCGCGGAAGUUGCCGCGGUGGAAGGCGACCACCGCCUUGGCCUUGAGCACGCUCUCGUUCUUGUGCAGGUGAUCGCAGGCGGGCAACGACCACAAGAACCUGCCCAGGCGUUCCAGGUUCCCUCCUUGCUGCAGAACUUCGCACACGCACGCCACUUGCUCUUGCGUAAAACCAAACGACGGCAGCAUCGACAUGGCUGGCGCUGCCGGGGCGCACGGGCCCGGGCGCACGCGGCAGUGAGCAGAGCUGGGAGAGCAGGGGGCGGCUGCCGCGGGGAGGGGGGCGCGGCUGCUCCUAACCCCCUCCCUAGCCUUGGCGCGGGCGAAGAGACCAGUCGAACCUCGGCGGGUGGGAGGCCAAGGAAGACGAAGAGAAGUAGGGGUGAGCUAGACUCCGAGUGGCUGGCGUUCUCUACAGCCUUCUGGGCCUCGCUGGCUCCCGCCUGCCGCCGGGUGGAUGCUGCUGGUUGCCGGGGAACUUGGUUUCUGUUCUCCCCGCAGCGGCCUUAAAGCGCGCAGCGUCCCCGACACGCUGAUUGGCUGCGAGCGGCGCCUAUCCGAAGCUGGCCAGCCUGCGCGCCGCCCGGCCCGGCAGCAAAGCCGCGCCACCCUGCCGCCCCGCGUGGGGAGGGCGAAGCUACCGAGUGCUGCCUAGGAUAAGAAGUGGUGGGAGGAGAAGGACCCGGAGAGGUGGGAAGUGAGGUGGGGUCGGGAGGAGGGAACUGGGGUGCUGAAAAGGGUGGUGACCAAGUCAGGACCUUGCGAAGCGGCGCCCUCUUUGGUGUCACCUAAGGGGAGCCUCACGCAGCACAAAUCAAUGGCUGCAGACGUUCUAAUGACCCUCUUCUCCAUAUUCUUAGCCCUGUCUCUUGCAGUCUUGGCUUUUCCCGGUGAGCUCAUAUUUAAUUACCUUAAUGUUAAGAUGAAUAAAUAAUGGAUUGA